GUGAAUCAUCAAAUUUUUGAACGCAAAUUGCACUCCCUGGUAUUCCGGGGAGUAUGCCUGUUUGAGGGUCGUUAGAAUAAAAAUCGAUGCGUCGCUCUUUUGGUGAAGGGUGAGCGCGUCGGAAUUGAGCCGUCUUUCAAUUGUUAAUUCAUGUCAAAGUGGCUUUAAUUGCAUCCAUCCGAUACGAUUAAA
rnacentral:misc_RNA from 1 species